rnacentral:tRNA from 1 species
GAGGCUUUAGUAUAAUUUUAGUAUAAUUUAUUUUCAAUAAAUGGGUUAUAAGUCUUA